AGAGGGUGCAAACGUUGUUCGGAAUUACUGGGCGUAAAGCGCGUGUAGGCUGCUUGGCAAGUCGGAUGUGAAAGCCCUGGGCUCAACCCAGGAAGUGCAUUCGAAACUGCCGAGCUGGAGUCCUGGAGAGGAAGGCGGAAUUCUCGGUGUAGAGGUGAAAUUCGUAGAUAUCGAGAGGAACACCGGUGGCGAAGGCGGCCUUCUGGACAGUGACUGACGCUGAGACGCGAAAGCGUGGGGAGCAAACAGGAUUAGAUACCCUGGUAGUCCACGCCGUAAACGAUGGGUGCUAGGUGUUGCGGGCUUUGACCCCUGCAGUGCCGUAGCUAACGCAUUAAGCACCCCGCCUGGGGAGUACGGCCGCAAGGCUA
rnacentral:rRNA from 1 species